rnacentral:rRNA from 1 species
GACGAACGCUGGCGGCGUGCUUAACACAUGCAAGUCGAACGGAAAUUCCCUGCUUUUGUUGUGUUCUCGAUUUGCGAACGUGUGUGUAACACGUGUGUAUCCUUCCCUUUACUUUGUUAUAACUUCUGGAAACUGGGGCUAAUACCGGAUAGGAUCUCCUGCUGCAUGUUGGUGGUUGGAAAUUUUCGGCUGUUGGGGAUUGACUCGCGGCUUAUCAGCUUGUUGGUGGGGUAGUGGCUUACCAAGGCUUUGACGGGUAGCCGGCCUGUGAGGGUGACCGGGGAAAAUGGGACUGAGAUACGGCCCAGAGGAGAACGGGAGGCAGCAGUGGGGAAUAGUGCAAAAUGGGAGGAAGCAUGAUGCAGAAAAGCAGGGGGCGGGAUGAAGGCCUACGGGUUGUAAAAAGAAUUAGAAUGUGACGAAGAGAGAGUGACGGUAAUGGGUAAAGAAGCACCGGCUAACUACGUG